rnacentral:rRNA from 1 species
UACGUAGGGCGCAAGCGUUGUCCGGAAUUAUUGGGCGUAAAGAGCUCGUAGGCGGCUUGUCACGUCGGCUGUGAAAUCCCGAGGCUCAACCUCGGGUCUGCAGUCGAUACGGGCGGACUGGAGUUCGGCAGGGGAGACUGGAAUUCCUGGUGUAGCGGUGAAAUGCGCAGAUAUCAGGAGGAACACCGGUGGCGAAGGCGGGUCUCUGGGCCGAUACUGACGCUGCGGAGCGAAAGCGUGGGGAGCGAACAGG